rnacentral:lncRNA from 1 species
GGAAGCAAAGUUUAAUAAUUGAAUAGCUCAAGCACUAAACUCUUACAUAUUAUUAAGAUACUAUCCUAAUAUGUCUCAUUUGUCAAAGAUGGAAAAGUUUUGAUAUGACAUAAGGGUUUCAAUCCCAAUAGGAAUAUUAAUGGUAACAAUAAAAAUAACAUAGCAACACGGUUUCUGUUGAAUGCCUGCCACAUGCCAGCAACUGCUUUGAUAAUUAAAGAAUUAUAUCUUAUGUUGAUUAUAAUCCUUAUAAUGGCUUCCUGGGUAAGAAAGGUUUAUUACUGUUUUACAUUUGAGGAGGAGACUAGGGUUCAGAGAGGGUGCAGAAGUGAGUUACACUUUUGCCAACCAGGCCAGAAGAUGAAAGCCGCUGGAUUGGGAAAUGCUUUUGUAUCAAAAGCACAAAAUGAAGUGGCUAGUGUUACUUGUUGGAAAAAAAUUAACUUUGGCAAGCAUAAAUAUAAUUCAGUAUUUGAGCAAUACUUUUAGGAGGGUAACAGAGUGGUUUAUGUGAAUUCUCCAAAAUGCCAUCAUGAAAAUUUUGAUGAUGAAAAUCACCUAAAAUUGCUAAUUACCUGUCUUAGCCUGUCUAGGGCUACAAAGUACCAUAUGCUGAGUGGCUCAUAAACAAUAGAAAUUUAUUUCUCACAGUGGAGGCUGGAAGUCAGAGUGCCAGAAUGGUCGAGUUCUGGUGAGGGCUCUUCCAGGUUGCUGUCAACUCUUUGCAUCCUUAGGUGGUGGCAAGAGGGCUAGAAAGUUCUUUGGAGUCUCUUUUAUUGUAUUUUAUUUUUUGGAGACAGUCUCACUCCGUCCCCCAGGCUGGAGUGCAGUGGCGCGAUCUCAGUUCACUGCAACCUCCACCUCCUGGGUUCAAGCAAUUCUCAGGCCUCAGCCUCCUAAGUAGCUGGGAUUACAGGUGCCCACCACAACACCUGGCUAAUUUUUGUAUUUUUAGUAGAGACAGGGUUUUGCCAUGUUGGCCAGGCUGGUCUCGAACUCCUGACCCCAGGCGAUCCACCUGCCUCGGCCUCCCAAAGUGCUGGGAUUACAGGCAUGAGACACUGCACCCAGCCUCUGGAGUCUCUUUUAUAAGGAUACUUACUAUUCUCAUCCAUGAAGUCUCCACUCUCAUGACCUAAUCACCUCACAAAGGCCCCGCCCCUUAAAACCAUCACAUUGGGCUUAGGAUUUCAACAUACAAAUUUUGGGGGGACAUAAACUUUCCAUCCCUAACAUUACCCAAAUAGUAUCUAUAUAGUCAUUUCUAAAUAUACACGUAUUUAGAAAUUUCUAAAUAGCCAGUAAACAUACAACUGACUUGGCCUUGAUAUAACUGUUUUCAUUUUCUUUUAUUUUCAUUCUACAUGACAUAUUUUGGGUAAUUAUAAAAUAAUUAAAAUUAGUUGAUAAAGUAUGGAAUUAGAAUAAAAUAAUUUUCUAUUACUAUCUAAGCCAUGAAAUGAAUUAGGAGAUGCUGUUUUCAGUGAAACGUCUUCUAGUUUUUAAAGUGCAUUGUCCAAUUCCUUUUUAUUUUGUGAAGAUUUUAAAAACUUAAAAAAAGUCUUCAAAUUGUUUGUGCCUUGCAUUUCUUUAAAUCUUAUGUUUAAACAUCAUGUGCUGCUAGUUGCUAGUCAUUUUCUCUAUCCCCUGCCCCAGACCCUCUCUUUCUCAGGAAAGGAUAUCCAGGGAUCCGGGUCCCAGUUAGUCAAGGAGAUAUAAGAGGAAGGCUAUGAGGCUUUCUGGGAAACAUUUUCUUUUUCCAAGAGAGAAGUGUUCAGAGGGAAAAGGUCCUUUCUCAGUUUGGCUCCCUCUUUGUGUUUUAGAUCUGGUCAUGUGAGGCUGCCUGGCUUGGAUUGUGAGGGCAUCUCUCGACAAUGAAGUGACAAGCCUGGGGAGGAAAAUCCACAGGCGAGAAGGUGGCAGAAUGGAGAGAUGGUCCUUCAUGACUUCUUUGAGUCACCAGGUCCAGAUUUCCCGCCAACCUCCAGUCUUCUUGUUAUGUGAUCUGAUAUCAUUAUUUACUGCAGAGGCCACUGAGUGGAUGCUCUUACUUGUGUCUGAAAAUCCAAUUCACUAAAUUAAUCAAAAUACGGCACUCUUCUUUUGAAACCUUGCUCCAGAACAAAGUGGAAGGUAAUGAUGGGGUGCUUUUCAAAGUUCCAGGGAGGUGUCCCUACACAGCAGACAGCUGUCCAAAGGAAUGUAGAUGUUGGCUGCGGGGAGAUCUGAGUUGCCAGACUCAGUCAGAACAGGUGUCCUCUCCCUUAUUUUAUCUUAAACAUGCAUGUCAUUUUUGCAUGCUACUCUAUGCGGUUCUUUCAGCCAGGGAACAUUGCUGAGCACCCGCUCACGUGCUGUAUGGAGCGCAGACUGCAGGGUGCGAGGGGCGGAGGUGAUGUGCUAGGCCUGAAUUCAAGAGGGGGCGCAGCCACAGGCCCCGCGAUGCCGGGGUGGCCUCUUGUAACGACGUUUUAACCGCUGACCUAAGUGGAUCCGCUCCUCUCCCGGGUGGGCGCAGGAGAGCCACGCUUUGCUCUCCCAGGUGAGCCGCCGCUCGCUGUCCCGG